rnacentral:lncRNA from 1 species
UAGUCCUUAUCCCAGAGCACCAGAUGUUGGAAGGUGACUAAGCGGUAUCUGGGAUGGUGAAUUGCACUCUGAAGAGCUUCCUAAGCUUAUAAGAAAGUGAUUCUGAAAAGCUCAACAUUUUGGUAGAAUGGAGAGAUUUGACAUUGCUUCUGCUCCAAAAGCAAAAGACUUGGGGAAGGGCACCCUGGGAGUUGAGAACGUCCACCACAGAGAGAGGCCUGGCAUAAAGGAGAUGGGACUCACACCCAAGAGGAUGCAUUUCCAUACACCCAUUUCUGAAAUAUGAAGAGGUGUCCAGUCUGUUUGAUUCAUAGCUGCCUGUUCCACAAUUGCAGAUACAGUAAUUGAUAACCGAGACCAAGUUCUCAUCCCCAUCUCCCAGGGCUGGAACUGGGGCUGUGUUUGGUUCUCAUAAGAUCAGUUCCAGUUUUAGAAACUGAGUAAACUGUGGAGUAAAUAUUGCCAAGUGAUGGCUUUCUGCUGUAGGCGUGGGUCUCUAUUGGCCAUUUGCCUCAGCAUAUCACCAGCAAUGCACCUCAUUGCAUCACUGCAUUUCCAAUUACACCUCAAAACACCACUGGCCCCCUGUCCACCCUCUGCCCUGCAGAGGUGGGUGUUCAGGGAGACAUCUGGGCUCAGAAGAUGGAAAUGCCAACUUCUCUCAAUUUGAGAGUGGGGAUGAGACUUUUUGACUCAACUCUGGUUAAUUCAGCCAUGCUGUCGGAGCUGCUUUGAUGCAAGGAUAUCUGAAUGC